UGAAACUUAAGGGGUUUUUUGUAAAACUGCGCUCUCUGGAAUAAUUAGCAAAAAUGUAACAGGGGAAAAAACUAGAUGCGGGCCGGAACUGAAAGGCUGGGGGAGCUACUCACAUCGGGCCUAGCAGGCCGAAACUGAAGCUGGGCCAGAGAGGAGGCGCACUGGGCCAAAGAGGAAUCAUCGUGGGCCGACCGGAUCUGACCAAUGCGGUCAACGUGGUUGCUGAGCGUUCAUCGUCUCGUUCCUGAAGCAGGGACUCAGCGAUGCAGGGGAGCUGGCGCGGUCAACGCAGAGGAAACAGAAGCCUUGGCGCGGCCGCGACGCAGAGGACGCAGAGGCGGCCUAGCAUUGCUUUGGACUCCGGCGAAAAACGGCGCGACGGGGAGGUGGAAGGCGCUGGUGACCCAUGGCAGCAAUGAAGCAGAGGAUACGAGCGGACACCGGGGUGCUCCGACGAGGUACUUGGUAGGGCAGCAGGGUCUAGACAAUGGGAACGAGGCCUAGACGACGGGAACAACGCAGAGAAGGUCGCUGGCGGCGGGGCUCCUCCUGUUAACGAACGAAGACAGAGGGAAUGAUGUGAGAGCGAGCGAGAGAGAGAGAGAGAGGAAAACAUGGGGAAGGAGGACAAGAAGGGCGACGGAGCUCCGUCCUAGUUGCAGCGGUGGUUGACGGGCAUGCUGAAGCGGUAGAUCGAGCCGGUGCUCGGGGGACAAGGUCUUAGGUGGUCGCGGUGGUCUCCAAGGCCGAUGGCUCGCCGGCGAGUCGAGGCGGGGUUGAGGGCGACGAGGAGAAGCACGAGGUGCUCGGGCGCCUCGAGCACACGAUCGAGCAGGGAGGCGCUGCGGCUGGCUGAUUUGGCGCUACGGCAGGGUGGAGUUGGAUUAGUGGGUGGCUGCGAGAUGUGGUUGGAUCGGGGUGGAUCGAGGCGAGAGAGGUGGUUGGCCUGAUGGGGAUAAUGAGAAAGGAGGCUGGUCGGGUGGCUCGAUCGAGAGUAUCAGGCAAGAUCCCGAGGAACAAGGAAGAGUGCGUGGCGGCGGCGGGGAGGAUUUGAUGGAUGUAUGGGACAGGGCUAGGGUUAGACUAUAUAUAUAUGUAGGGAUAAGGGUAGGGCUAUCUCGUCCCUAUGAUUAAAAUCGGAUGGCUAGGAAAAAAUAUGCUACGGAGUCCAAUUAACAAAACGGAGAUGGUUUGUAGAUGUUUGGGGAUGAUCUGGACCCAACGGUGACGAUUGCCCGGGUCGGGUCCGGGACAGCUUUCGGACGCACGCACGAGGAGGGUCGCGGGUUGACGAGAGAGGUUAGGUAGGGCCUGGCGGUGAGUGGUAGUGGACUGAGAAGAGAGAGGAGGAAUGCAACCCGGCAACGAUUUCUGGAGACCGAAAACGUCCGACAUUUGACCGGCUAUAUUGCCGCUAUAGUUAUCCGUUGGGGCAUCAAACGGACUCCGAAGGCGAUGAAACUUGGCAGGCGGUCUACCUUCAACAUAACAAGACCGCAUGCCAACUUUCAACCCAUUCUGAGAACAUUUUCCGGCCACUAAUAAAAUAAUAUUCUGGAUGUGCCACGGGCGCGUGCGAGUGUGUCUGGGCUCAUAACGGACAACGGAAGGAACUAGGGGACUCAGACGAAUGCAAGUUUUGAAAACAUGAGAGAUGCAAUGCACACAAUGACAUGGCAAGAUGCAACACGCAAGCGAAUGACACGACAACAACAACGAAUAACUAGAAGACACCUAGCGCAUCGGUCUUGGGGUGUUACAACACUCCACCACUACGAGAGGAUCUCGUCCCGAGAUCUAGGAUGGCACCGGAGGGAAACGGAGGAGGAAGAGAAAAGGUAAAACAAAGUUGCUUCUUUGACAAUUGAGUGAAACCAAAGAACCUUGUGAGGUUGAACGAAUUGAAAGAAAGAAAAAACAACGAAGAUGAACAAAGUUGAAAACACUCCGUUAGAAAAAAAAGAACAAGGAACAUUACAGGAACCUUGUAGAUUGAAAGACAUAAGAAAAGGGUUACAAUGGACAAGAAGUACAAGCAAGCACUCCGGUUGUAACGCGAUGUACAAGGAACAAUAGAGAUCAAUUAGGACAACACUCCGGUUGGAAAUGGAAGGCAUAGAAUAUGCACUUGAAAAGAUGAGAGGAUACUUGAUGAAAACAACAACACACUGCCUCCAGAACUAUUGAAAUAAUGGCACAAGGGGUAAGAAUGAUUUCAAACAACACUCCGGUUGAGAAGGGAUGGAAAACUUGAUAAGAUGAGAGGACUUGAAUAGAGGGCACGACGCUCCGGUUAAAAGGAUAAGCAUGAAAAGAACACGAUCCUCGCAAUUUAAGAUGAUGAUUGAAAAGAGCAACAUCACAAUGCCUCCGGAAGGAAGAAUAAAAGUUAUAUCAUUGGAAUAAAAGAAUGGAGAAGAAAAGCCAACUUCUACCACAACUGAUCUUGGAAAGCACCCUUCAAAGAAGGUUAUGACAGAGUUGUUGGAAAACCAACAACGAAAAGAACAAGCUUGUAGUGCACUUAUGGAGAAUAUGUCAAAACUAUGAGGUGAAAUUCUGCCACUAACGAAAACAAUAGAUUGGAUUGAUGUCAACAAGGAGACGAGAAGUUUAUUUCACCGGGAUGAUAAAUGAAGAACUUGGAUCAUUUAAUAGCAACAAUCCUUAGGGAAAGCUUUAGGUGAAAUAUAACCCCAAGAUAACUCCAAUGAAGGGGUUGAUGGGUUGAGAAGAGCUCAUGCUCGAAGAAAUUGAUGGGUUUAACUACCUCAUUCUUGACAACACGUGAAUCGCGAAACAAAAAUAGAAAUUGUGAAGAAAAGAUAUAGAACCACCUCAAAAGAUAAGGUAGAAAGAAUCGCACUACAUAAUGCAAGAAGAGGAAUACUUGAUCUCCUCAAAACAAACAUGUGUUGAGAACCACGUUCAUUUUAGAGUAAAGCUUGGCGGAUCAUAACUUCAAGAGAAAUCUUGAGGACAAUUGAAGAAUGAAAAGAAUCCUUGACGAACCACCAUGUAGCCUCCAUGAAGAACUCUGGUAAUAAAAGAAUGAUCAAAAGGAAGUGAAGGAUGCAAAGAAUAAGAUUGAACCCUUGCAAUGAUUAGAUGGAUCUUCGUGAUGAUGAGAGCUUGUAACUCCGGGAAAAGAAAAGAUGAAGCAAUAGAUACCGAGAAUUUGAAGAAUCUCUGGAAUAAGGAAUUGAAUUCAUUCAAUGAAACAAGAAUAAGAAUUACAUUAUGCUUAUCCUUCAUCAAUUUAGAUUGAUGACAAGCACGGAUUUUAUAUACUACUUAUUCUCGUAAAAAGAUUAAGAUAUAUAUAGCGCAAACUCAAUGGAGCACCGGUAGGAUUUGGAAACAAAAAAUUAAUUGAUAUGAUAACGAAGGAAGAGAAAUCUUGAAUGAACCAUCGUAAGAAUUGAAAGAGAACGUAGCAAAGGCACAAUUCACUGGGAAGAAUUGGAAAACGAAUGAAGAUACUUGAGAGGAUUUAGAUACAUGAGAACGAAGAGAUCACGAGCUGAUAAGAGAAAACUUGAAUGAUGCACCGGCAAGAUUUGGAGAACAAGAGCUGAAAGCUGAAAAUGAAUACUUCUGAGAUGAUGGGCUUCGGAGAAUCAAACUGAAAAGACUCCUGAAAUGCUCCGGAUGGAUGAAAAGAAUUCUGACAAUCGAAAACAAUUAUGAGAGGAUGGCAUCAAGCUAGAACCAUGAAUCUUCAAGAGAACAUAUAUGAUUGAAGGGAAACUCUUCUUCGGUCUUCAAAUCCGAGAAUGACAAUGAGAAACAACAUCAAGAAUUUUUUAGACACUCUGGGAUGACGAAUAGAAAGGUUGAGCCAACGGUGAAAAGAAUUUGACAGAUCUUGGAGAAAAACAUAUUACUGAUGAUAAUUCAUUCUUAUGUCAAACUUUGAAAUGAAUUUGAGAAUAACUCCAGAAGAAUUAGAAGAGUCAGGUAAGAUGCUGGGAAAAGACCUAUGGGUUAGGGCCCACUCAAAAGAAACACCUUCGAACGAUUGCUUGAAAGGGAGAUUGCACCAGUUGAAUUAAAUGGCUUGAAUGAGAUAACAUCCUCAGAAGAGCUUGAACAAAUGCAGAGCGGAAAACACGAAUCUCCUAAGAUAUCUACAACACUCCGGAACAAUUGAAUAGCGAGAAGUGGAUGAUUAAGAGGUGCACCGGUAUGAGAAAACAUUUGAAACGACGAAAAGAAUAUGCUCAACACCAAAGCUUGAAUUGAAUCCACCAAAGAAGAAAAAGAAUGAAGAAUGAUGAACUAGAAGCUCCGUUAGAAUCUUCAUGAGAAUCACCGGGUAAGAACAUUGAUGGAAAAGAAUGGAGAGACUUCACAUGAAUAAAAUGGAUACUUGAUUAAUAAAUCCGAGUCCUUGAAUAAAAAAAUGGGUGGGAGGGCGGGAAAACAAAGGCAACUUGGGAAACGAUGAAACGAACAACAUUGGGGAAAAGCCGAGAGGUGAUCUUGCGGAUGUUGAAAUGAUCAAAUCCACUUGAAGAGAAAACACGCCGGUUGAGAAGAAAUUGGGAUGACAAACUCAAUGAUCAAGAAGGAUUAGUAUUCCCAAAGAAAUAUGAGAACACCACUUAGAAAAGGGUAUGGAAUCAACAUUUGACAUUGAAGCAACUCGAAUACCAUAAACAAAAACAAAGGAUUUGGCUUGCAGAAUAAACCCGAAACAAAUAGAUGAUAGAUCCCAUAUCGUAUCAUGUGUCUGUUGGAAAGAAUUCCUACGUGAUACUAGAAUUCCCACUUAUAAACUCCCGAAACUUUCUGGUUAUGCAAUCAGGUGUUGGGGAUACAGGGGAAGCAUAAUAUCUCACCCAAAACUAGCAAAUCCUACAUCCAGCUGUAUCCAUCCUUCAACACAUAACCAAGAAACCUUCGGAAAUCAUUUACCUCAACCUUCGAAAAGCAUUCGUUAUACGAGUUAUGGCAAUACUCCCGAACUCCCACCCCAGUACUGGGUGGCGUCGAGGUUAUCUCACCAACAACUGCUUAAAAGAGAUUUUCGAUGUCGGCGAACUCAGGUAUUCCAGAACUGCAACAAUAAAAUUGUGACGACAACACCUCAGAGCUCAACUCCUCGGGACACUGCCACAACCCCUAAAUGUCAGGAGGCACCAAGAACAAUGUUCUCGUCACAAGACUAUCAGAACGAUUCCAAGAUACCCACGUGAUCCUAAAAAAAGUUUCGUGAAAUUUGAGGAGAGAAGAGUCAAAACUCUAUGUCAGGAGGCCACACCAGAGCUACGAAGGGACUGAGGAGUAAGAAGAAUCCUACUCUCCGAUAUAUAUAAUCUAAGACUCAAAACAUUUCGUUCUAGACUCAACAACGUCAGCGAUUCGAUCAAGCAGGGGGCUCCUAAGUCGGGGAUGGCUCUGAUUACCAACUUGUAACACCCACAAUGCGGCUAUAUCUCCCACGUGUAGGUGCACGACUUAGAGGCAUAGUCGCAUGGUAGGCAUGUCGCAAGAGGGGUAAUCUUCACACAUCACAUGUACUGAAUAAGAAAGGGAUAAAGAGUUGGCUUACAAUUGCCACUUCACUCAAAUACAAGUUAAACAUACAUCAUCCAGAAUAUAAUCAAAGGUCCAACUAUGGAACCAAAAUAAAAGAACACAACCCCCAAAUGCUAGAUCCCCGAUCGUCCCAACUGGACUCCACUACUGAUCAACAGGAAAUGAAACAACACAACGAACACGAUCUUCAUUGAGCUCCCACUUGAGCUCAGUUGUGUCAUCUGCGCUGGUAUCAUCGGCACCUCCAACUGUUUGGAAGUAUCUGUGAGCCACGAGGACUCAGCAAUCUCACACCCGCGAGAUCAAGAUUAUUUAAGCUUAUGGGUAGGAAAGGGUAGUGAGGUGGAGCUGUAGCAAGCACUAGCAUAUAUGGUGGAUAACAUACGCAAAUAAGAGCGAGAAGAGAAGCAAAUCAACGGUCGUGAGCUAGAAGUGAUCAUGAAACAACUUACGCACAACCAUAACACAAAAACCAUGUUCGCUUCCGAACUCCGCCGAUAAGAGACCAUCACGGCUACACACGUGGUUGAUGCAUUUUAAUUAAGUUAAGUGUCAAGUUCUCUACACCUAGACAUUAACAAAUUCCCAUCUACAACAUAACCGCGGGCACGAGUUUCAAAAUUUCAAACCCUGCAGGGGUGUCCCAACCUAGCCCAUCACAAGCUCUCACGGUCAACGAAGGAUAUUCCUUCUCCCAGGAAGACCCGAUCAGACUCAGAAUCCCGGUUACAAGACAUUUCGACAAUGGUAAAACAAGACCAGCAAAGCCACCUGAUGUGCCGACAUCCCGAUAGGAGCUGCACAUAUCUCGUUCUCAGGGCAACACCGGAUGAGCAAUCCAUACAACUAAAACCAGCCCUCAAUUUUCCCCGAGGGGGCGCUGCAAGGGGCUCUAGUUCGGACCAACACUUAGAGAAGCACUGCCCGGGGGGGGGUUAAAAUAAAGAUGACCCUCUGGUUGGCCAAUCUAAGGGAAGGGCAGGUGGUGGUGAGGCAAAUGGUAAAACCAAGGAUGGGCCUUGCUGGAGGAGUUUUAUUCAAAGCAAAAUGUCAAGGGCUUCCCAUAACACCCAACAGCGUAAGGGACGCAAAAUCAAGGAACAUAACACCGGUAUGACGGAAACUAGGGCGGCAAGAGUGCAAUAAAACACCAGGCAUAAGGCCGAGCCUUCCACCCUUUACCAAGUAUAUAGAUGCAUUAAUGUAAAUAAGAUAUAAUAAUGACAUCCCAACCAAAUCCAUGUUCCAACACGGAACAAACUUCAUCUUCACCUGCAACUAGCAACGCUAUAAGAGGGGUUGAGCAAACGCGGUAACCUAGCCAAACAACGGUUUGCUAGGAAGGUGGGUUAGAGGCUUGACAUGACAAUAUGGGAGGCAUGAUAUAGCAAAUGGUAGGUGUCAUGACAUAGCAAUAGAGUGAACAAUUGGAAAGCAAUGAUAGAAGUGAUUUCGAGGGUAUGGUCAUCUUUCCUAAGAUACCGCAAGGAAGAAGAACGAGUCCAUGAAGAAGACAACUGGACGUAAUCGAACGGAUCCUCACAAACGCGACGUUAUCGGAACUAACCCGAAGAAGAAACACCAGAAAGAAGAAAACAACAUGGUAAACAACCAUCACAUAAACAUGGCAUGAUGCACAACCAAGUAUGAUGCAUGUCUGGUUUAAUGAAGCAUGGCAUGGCAAAGUGCACAAAGAAAACUACAAGUUAAAUGAAGAUCAAUAUGCAACGAGUUGCAUAUUGACGAAACACCACACGACUUAUUUAGUUCUCUCUCGUUUAUGUACUCAACAAUAUUAAAUUUUGAUUAGUAUGGCAAGCAGUGAAGCAUGAGUAAACUACACAUCUAGGCAAGUUUAAAUGAGGCUGGGACAACAAGCAACAAGUCCAGAAAAUACUCAUGUGCAAUAUUUUAGGUUUGGUACUGUUCUGCCCUAAACCAUAUUUUAGAGUUGUUAAACAUGCAAAGCAACGCCACCAUGUUAAACUAAGCAUUUUUCUACCCCAUUUACAUAUAAAGUUUGUUAGGUUUGGAGAUACGGUUAUUUCGUUAUGAAUUAAAUCAUUUUAGCAUGACAUUUAAGUAAAUUAAUGCAAAUAGUAGUUUAAACAUUUCAAACAUGGAUGAAAGUGGCAUAUUACAAAACUAGAUGAAAUUCUAGUCAUUUUCCAUAUAAGGUUUGUUUAAUUUGGAUGCACGGUAUGAGAGUUAUUAAAUGCCUGAAACUUAAGGGGUUUUCUGUAAAACUGUGCUCUCUGGAAUAAUUAGCAAAAACGUAGCAGGGAAAAAACUAGAUGCGGGCCGGAACUGAAAGGCUAGAGGAGCUGCUCACAUCGGGCCUAGCAGGCCGAAACUGUAGCUGGGCCAGAGAGGAGGCGCACAGGGCCGACGGGGAAUCAUCGCGGGCCGACCGGAUCUGACCAAUGCGGUUAGUGUGGUUUCUGAGCACUCAUCAUCUCAUUCCUGAAGUGGGGACUGAGCGAUGCAGGGGAGCUGGCGUGGUCAACGCAGAGGAAACAGAAGCCUUGGCGCGGCCACAACAUAGAGGACGCAGCGGCGGCCUAGCGUUGCUUAGGACUCCGGCGAAAAACGGUGCGACGGGGAGGUCGAAGGCACUGGUGACCCAUGGCGGUGAUGAAGCAGAGGAAACGAGCGGACACCAUGGUGCUCUGGCGAGGUACUUGGCUGGGCGGAGGGGUCUAGACGACGGGAACGGGGCCUAGAUGACGGGAACGGCACAGAGAAGGUCGCUGGCGGCGGGGCUCCUCCUGUUGACGAACCAAGACAGAGGGAGUGAUGUGAGAGCAAGAGAGAGAGAGAGGAAAACACGGGGAAGGAGGAAAAGAAGGGCGACGGAGCUCCGUCCUAGUUGCAGCAAUGGUCGACGGGUGUGCUGAAGCGGUGGAUCGAGCCGGUGCUCGGGCGAACAGGGUCUUAGGUGGUCGCGGUGGUCUCCAAGGCCGAUGGCUCACCGG
rnacentral:lncRNA from 1 species